UACAGAGGUCUCAAGCGUUGUUCGGAUUCAUUGGGCGUAAAGGGUGCGUAGGCGGUAUCGUAAGUCGGAUGUGAAAUCCCGGAGCUUAACUCCGGAACUGCAUUCGAUACUGCGGUGCUUGAGGACUGGAGAGGAGAUCGGAAUUCACGGUGUAGCAGUGAAAUGCGUAGAUAUCGUGAGGAAGACCAGUGGCGAAGGCGGAUCUCUGGACAGUUCCUGACGCUGAGGCACGAAGGCCAGGGGAG
rnacentral:rRNA from 1 species